CGGGGAGCAAGGGCCGGGACGCGUCCCGGCCCGGAGAGUACCCGGAGAAAAAGCAUCGGCUAACUCCGUGCCAGCAGCCGCGGUAAUACGGAGGAUGCGAGCGUUAUCCGGAUUUAUUGGGUUUAAAGGGUGCGUAGGCGGGCUUUUAAGUCAGCGGUAAAAAUUCGGGGCUCAACCCCGUCCGGCCGUUGAAACUGGGGGCCUUGAGUGGGCGAGAAGAAGGCGGAAUGCGUGGUGUAGCGGUGAAAUGCAUAGAUAUCACGCAGAACCCCGAUUGCGAAGGCAGCCUUCCGGCGCCCUACUGACGCUGAGGCACGAAAGUGCGGGGAUCGAACAGGAUUAGAUACCCUGGUAGUCCGCACAGUAAACGAUGGAUGCCAGCUGUCCGGGCCGAAUGGGGCCUGG
rnacentral:rRNA from 1 species